rnacentral:sRNA from 1 species
UCGGGGACUUGAGCCGUGGCUCCGACUUGGGCGGAGCCUGGAGGGGGGUGGUUGCGAUACGCGGACCGGAGAAUUUGCACUUUAAAGUCCGGGUCUGCCCGUUUUCGUUUCACAGUAACCGACGUCUCAAGUCAGAACAUCCAGUCAUGGAUAAAAAUGAGCUGGUUCAGAAGGCCAAACUGGCCGAGCAGGCUGAGCGAUAUGAUGACAUGGCAGCCUGCAUGAAGUCUGUAACUGAGCAAGGAGCUGAAUUAUCCAAUGAGGAGAGGAAUCUUCUCUCAGUUGCUUAUAAAAAUGUUGUAGGAGCCCGUAGGUCAUCUUGGAGGGUCGUCUCAAGUAUUGAACAAAAGACGGAAGGUGCUGAGAAAAAACAGCAGAUGGCUCGAGAAUACAGAGAGAAAAUUGAGACGGAGCUAAGAGAUAUCUGCAAUGAUGUACUGUCUCUUUUGGAAAAGUUCUUGAUCCCCAAUGCUUCACAAGCAGAGAGCAAAGUCUUCUAUUUGAAAAUGAAAGGAGAUUACUACCGUUACUUGGCUGAGGUUGCCGCUGGUGAUGACAAGAAAGGGAUUGUGGAUCAGUCACAACAAGCAUACCAAGAAGCUUUUGAAAUCAGCAAAAAGGAAAUGCAACCAACACAUCCUAUCAGACUGGGUCUGGCCCUUAACUUCUCUGUGUUCUAUUAUGAGAUUCUGAACUCCCCAGAGAAAGCCUGCUCUCUUGCAAAGACAGUAUGUAUUUUACCUGUUACGUAGAAAUUUAGCAGUCUUUAUUAUUUGAGCACUGAAAUGUAAUGUACUAUUUUUAAAUCGUAGGCUUUUGAUGAAGCCAUUGCUGAACUUGAUACAUUAAGUGAAGAGUCAUACAAAGACAGCACGC